UACGGAGGGUGCGAGCGUUGUCCGGAAUCAUUGGGCGUAAAGGGCGCGUAGGUGGCCUGGUCAGUUCGUGGUGAAAGCGCGGGGCUCAACCCCGCGUCGGCCAUGAAUACUGCUAGGCUUGAGCACUGUAGAGGCAGGCGGAAUUCCUGGUGUAGCGGUGAAAUGCGUAGAUAUCAGGAGGAACACCUGUGGCGAAAGCGGCUCACUGGACCACAACUGACGCUGAAGCACGAAAGCUAGGGGAGCAAACAGG
rnacentral:rRNA from 1 species